rnacentral:rRNA from 1 species
GAAGCCCUAACGGGUGCGGGGAUGGGUAGGGGAGCGUCGUGUGCCGGGUGAAGCGGCGGCGGAAGCCAGUCGUGGACGGUACACGAGUGAGAAUGCAGGCAUGAGUAGCGAUACACACGUGGGAAACGUGUGCGCCGAUUGACUAAGGGUUCCUGGGUCAAGCUGAUCUGCCCAGGGUAAGUCGGGACCUAAGGCGAGGCCGACAGGCGUAGUCGAUGGACAACCGGUUGAUAUUCCGGUACCCGCUUUGAAACGCCCAGUAUCGAACCCUCUGAUGCUAAGGCCGUGAAGCCGUCCUGGAGCCUUCGGGCAAAGGGGAGUGGUGGAGCCGCCGGUCCAAGGUGGUAGUAGGUAAGCGAUGGGGUGACGCAGGAAGGUAGUCCAGCCCGGGCGGUGGUUGUCCCGGGGUAAGGGUGUAGGGCGUUGCGUAGGCAAAUCCGCGCGACAUAUAGUCUGAGACCUGAUGCCGAGCCGAUUGUGGUGAAGUGGAUGAUCCUAUGCUGUCGAGAAAAGCCUCUAGCGAGUUUCAUGGCGGCCCGUACCCUAAACCGACUCAGGUGGUCAGGUAGAGAAUACCGAGGCGUUCGGGUGAACUAUGGUUAAGGAACUCGGCAAAAUGCCCCCGUAACUUCGGGAGAAGGGGGGCCACAACUGGUGAGGGGACUUGCUCCCUGAGCUGGGGGUGGCCGCAGAGACCAGCGAGAAGCGACUGUUUACUAAAAACACAGGUCCGUGCGAAGCCGUAAGGCGAUGUAUACGGACUGACGCCUGCCCGGUGCUGGAACGUUAAGGGGACCGGUUAGUCACAUUUCGGUGUGGCGAAGCUGAGAACUUAAGCGCCAGUAAACGGCGGUGGUAACUAUAACCAUCCUAAGGUAGCGAAAUUCCUUGUCGGGUAAGUUCCGACCUGCACGAAUGGCGUAACGACUUCUCGACUGUCUCAACCAUAGGCCCGGUGAAAUUGCACUACGAGUAAAGAUGCUCGUUUCGCGCAGCAGGACGGAAAGACCCCGGGACCUUUACUAUAGCUUGAUAUUGGUGUUCGGUUCGGCUUGUGUAGGAUAGGUGGGAGACUUUGAAGCGGCAGCGCCAGCUGUUGUGGAGUCGUCGUUGAAAUACCACUCUGGUCGUGCUGGAUGUCUAACCUCGGUCCGUGAUCCGGAUCAGGGACAGUGUCUGGUGGGUAGUUUAACUGGGGCGGUUGCCUCCUAAAGAGUAACGGAGGCGCCCAAAGGUUCCCUCAGCCUGGUUGGCAAUCAGGUGUUGAGUGUAAGUGCACAAGGGAGCUUGACUGUGAGACUGACGGGUCGAGCAGGGACGAAAGUCGGGACUAGUGAUCCGGCGGUGGCUUGUGGAAGCGCCGUCGCUCAACGGAUAAAAGGUACCCCGGGGAUAACAGGCUGAUCUUCCCCAAGAGUCCAUAUCGACGGGAUGGUUUGGCACCUCGAUGUCGGCUCGUCGCAUCCUGGGGCUGGAGUCGGUCCCAAGGGUUGGGCUGUUCGCCCAUUAAAGCGGUACGCGAGCUGGGUUUAGAACGUCGUGAGACAGUUCGGUCCCUAUCCGCUGCGCGCGUAGGAAUAUUGAGAAGGGCUGUCCCUAGUACGAGAGGACCGGGACGGACGAACCUCUGGUGUGCCAGUUGUCCUGCCAAGGGCAUGGCUGGUUGGCUACGUUCGGAAAGGAUAACCGCUGAAAGCAUCUAAGCGGGAAGCCUGCUUCGAGAUGAGUAUUCCCACCCCCUUUGAGGGGUUAAGGCUCCCAGUAGACGACUGGGUUGAUAGGCCAGAUGUGGAAGCCCGGUAACGGGUGGAGCUGACUGGUACUAAUAGGCCGAGGGCUUGUCUAA